rnacentral:tRNA from 1 species
GCGUUUGUAGUCCAACGGUUGGAUAAUUGUCUUCUAAGCAAUAGACCCUGAGUUCGACUCCUAGCAAAUGUA